rnacentral:rRNA from 1 species
UACGGGGGGGGCAAGCGUUGUUCGGAAUUACUGGGCGUAAAGGGCUCGUAGGCGGCCAACUAAGUCAGACGUGAAAUCCCUCGGCUUAACCGGGGAACUGCGUCUGAUACUGGAUGGCUUGAGUUUGGGAGAGGGAUGCGGAAUUCCCGGUGUAGUGGUGAAAUGCGUAGAUAUCGGGAGGAACACCAGUGGCGAAGGCGACUUCCUGGCCUGUUCUUGACGCUGAGGCGCGAAAGCGUGGGGAGCAAACAGG